rnacentral:rRNA from 1 species
GUCUAUUAUGAAGUUAUUUAUAGUCUGGCCUGCUCCCUGACUAUAAAGUUAAAGAGCCGCGGUAAUUUGACCGUGCAAAGGUAGCAUAAUCAUUAGUUUCUUAAUUGGGAACUUGUAUGAAAGGUCUGACAAAGGAAAAGCUGUCUUUAUUGUAAAGGUUGAAUUUAACUUUUAAGUGAAAAGGCUUAAAUGAUUUAGAGGGACGAUAAGACCCUAUAAAGCUUUAUAUAAAAAAUAAUCAAAAUUGAAUUUAUAAUAAAAAUUUAAAUUAAUUAUUAUAUUUUAUUGGGGUGAUAUUAAUAAAAGUAAUAUUAACUGUUAAAAAAAAAUACGUGAAUAAAAGAAUUGAAUAUAUUAAUGAUCCUUGUUUAAAGAUUAAAAGAUUAAGUUACUUUAGGGAUAACAGCGUAAUUCUUCUUAAGAGUUCAUAUCGAAAGAAGAGAUUUUGACCUCGAUGUUGAAUUAAAAUAUCUGUGUAAAGUAGCCAUUACAUGAGAAGGUCUGUUCGACCUUUAAAUUUUU